rnacentral:rRNA from 1 species
GAUGAACGCUGACAGAAUGCUUAACACAUGCAAGUCCACUUGAACUUCGGUUUGGGUGGCGGACGGGUGAGUAACGCGUAAAGAACUUGCCUCACAGCUAGGGACAACAUUUGGAAACGAAUGCUAAUACCUGAUAUUAUGAUUUUAGGGCAUCCUAGAAUUAUGAAAGCUAUAUGCGCUGUGAGAGAGCUUUGCGUCCCAUUAGCUAGUUGGAGAGGUAACGGCUCGCCAAGGCGAUGAUGGGUAGCCGGCCUGAGAGGGUGAACGGCCACAAGGGGACUGAGACACGGCCCUUACUCAUACGGGAGGCAGCAGUGGGGAAUAUUGGACAAUGGACCAAGAGUCUGAUCCAGCAAUUCUGUGUGCACGAUGAAGUUUUUCGGAAUGUAAAGUGUUUUCAGUUGGGAAGAAAAAAAUGACGGUACCAACAGAAGAAGUGACGGCUAAAUACGUG